rnacentral:rRNA from 1 species
GAUGAACGCUGGCGGCGUGCCUAAUACAUGCAAGUCGAGCGAACGGACGAGAAGCUUGCUUUUCUGAUGUUAGCGGCGGACGGGUGAGUAACACGUGGAUAACCUACCUAUAAGACUGGGAUAACUUCGGGAAACCGGAGCUAAUACCGGAUAAUAUUUUGAACCGCAUGGUUCAAAAGUGAAAGACGGUCUUGCUGUCACUUAUAGAUGGAUCCGCGCUGCAUUAGCUAGUUGGUAAGGUAACGGCUUACCAAGGCAACGAUGCAUAGCCGACCUGAGAGGGUGAUCGGCCACACUGGAACUGAGACACGGUCCAGACUCCUACGGGAGGCAGCAGUAGGGAAUCUUCCGCAACGGGCGAAAGCCUGACGGAGCAACGCCGCGUGAGUGAUGAAGGUCUUCGGAUCGUAAAACUCUGUUAUUAGGGAAGAACAUAUGUGUAAGUAACUGUGCACAUCUUGACGGUACCUAACCAGAAAGCCACGGCUAACUACGUG